rnacentral:lncRNA from 1 species
UUAUUAACUCAACUAACUCCUAACUAAUUAAUCUAUCCUAUAUCAAUUGAACUGUAACCGCCCCAACGAAUUCAUGAUUGAAAAAUCUGAGAUUGAAUGCAAGUUGAAAAGAAAAUGUGUAGAACAAUAAAGGUAGCAAACACUAAAAAAAAAAUAAACAAUCCAAAACACCAAAAACUCAAACUUGUUAAUUAGUUCGACAUGUCGUUCCUGUUCACAAUCA